rnacentral:rRNA from 1 species
UACGAAGGGGGCUAGCGUUGCUCGGAAUCACUGGGCGUAAAGCGCACGUAGGCGGAUAUUUAAGUCAGGGGUGAAAUCCCGAGGCUCAACCUCGGAACUGCCUUUGAUACUGGGUAUCUCGAGUCCGGAAGAGGUAAGUGGAACUGCGAGUGUAGAGGUGAAAUUCGUAGAUAUUCGCAAGAACACCAGUGGCAAAGGCGGCUUACUGGUCCGGUACUGACGCUGAGGUGCGAAAGCGUGGGGAGCAAACAGG